ACCCCACUGCUAUCGGGAUGGGACUAAGACAUGCUAGUCGAGCAUCUUCAAGCCAUGGUGAAGACGCGGCACACAGCUCAGUAACACGUGGCUAAUCUGUCCUUGAGACAAGGACAACCCCGGGAAACUGGGGCUAAUCCCUGAUAGGUGAGAACUCCUGGAAUGGAUUCUCGCCGAAAGGACGUUUAGACCAUGCUUCUAAGCGUCGCUCAAGGAGGAGGCCGCGGCCGAUCAGGCUGUUGGUGAGGUAACGGCUCACCAAACCUUUAACCGGUACGGGCCGUGAGAGCGGAAGCCCGGAGAUGGGCACUGAGACAAGGGCCCAGGCCCUACGGGGCGCAGCAGUCGCGAAAACUCCGCAAUACACGAAAGUGUGACGGGGCCAUCCCGAGUGCCAUCCGCUGAGGAUAGCUUUUCCCUAGUGUACAAAGCUGGGGGAAUAAGGAGAGGGCAAGCCUGGUGUCAGCCGCCGCGGUAAUACCAGCUCUCCGAGUGGUGGGGAUGUUUAUUGGGCCUAAAGCAUUCGUAGCCUGUUGGGCAAGUCCUCCGUUAAAUCCAACGAUUCAAUCGUUGGGCUGCGGGGAAUACUGCCCGGCUAGGGGGCGGGAGAGGCCGACGGUAUCCUCGGGGUAGGGGUGAAAUCCUAUAAUCCCGGGAGGACCACCAGUGGCGAAGGCUGUCGGCUAGAACGCGCCCGACGGUGAGGGAUGAAAGCUGGGGGAGCGAACCGGAUUAGAUACCCGGGUAGUCCCAGCUGUAAACGAUGCAGGCUAGGUGUUGGCGCGGCUACGUGCCGCUCCGGUGCCGCAGGGAAGCCGUUAAGCCUGCCGCCUGGGAAGUACGGUCGCAAGGCUGAAACUUAAAGGAAUUGGCGGGGGAGCACCACAAGGGGUGAAGCUUGCGGUUU
rnacentral:rRNA from 1 species